CCUACGGGAGGCAGCAGUGAGGAAUAUUGGUCAAUGGGCGCUAGCCUGAACCAGCCAAGUAGCGUGAAGGAUGACUGCCCUAUGGGUUGUAAACUUCUUUUAUAUGGGAAUAAAGUGCAGUAUGUAUACUGCUUUGCAUGUACCUUAUGAAUAAGGAUCGGCUAACUCCGUGCCAGCAGCCGCGGUAAUACGGAGGAUCCGAGCGUUAUCCGGAUUUAUUGGGUUUAAAGGGAGCGGAGGCGGGUUGUUAAGUCAGUUGUGAAAGUGUGCGGCUCAACCGUAAAAUUGCAGUUGAUACUGGCAGCCUUGAGUAGAGUAGAGGUAGGCGGAAUUCGUGGUGUAGCGGUGAAAUGCUUAGAUAUCACGAAGAACUCCGAUUGCGAAGGCAGCCUGCUGGACUGUAACUGACGCUGAUGCUCGAAAGUGUGGGUAUCAAACAGGAUUAGAUACCCCGGUAGUC
rnacentral:rRNA from 1 species